rnacentral:lncRNA from 1 species
AAACUGCAAAGAGUUGCUCCUCAUGUGCAUCUGCAGCUUCUACUACUUGUGCUUGCAAAGCACCAGAGGCCUUUGCUCUUGAUUUGCAGACCUUGGAUAUGUGCCCCGUCUGCUUACAGUUGCCGCAUAUAGCAUCGACCCUCCACCAACAGUACUUCUCCAGAUGUGUAGUUUUUUUACAAUGUUUGCACGGAGGGAACUU